UAAUGGUUAGCACUCUGGACUCU
rnacentral:piRNA from 3 species